rnacentral:lncRNA from 10 species
CUUCUGCUUAGAUAUGGCCGCCUUAAAAGAUGCAGAUGCUGUUGUGAUCAGCAUGAAGUUUCCCUGUGAGGCCGUGGUUAGCGUGGACAUCAGCCAGCACUGCACAGACAGCUGCGACCAGGACGUCAGCCAGCACUGCACAGACAGCUGCGACCAGAGACUGGAGGGAAAUAACCUCCUGAAAUCACCAAAGAGCAGUUCCUCAGGGCCUUCCGGGUGACCGUGGCCGUGGAGCAGUCGUGGUGAAACCGGUCAGCUGUGGACCUGCCCUGCGAAUCGGCAGAGGCCUCCGUGGUGAAGACAGAAGCUCCGUGAACCAACUCGAGGCUGGAGCCAAGAUCCUGCCUGAUAUCCAGUUGCCUGUUUCACUUGUUACUGUUACUGGGAGAGGGAGACAAAACCUCAUGGCAAUCUUGUCCUCACUGGAGACUCAGAAGGGGAAGCAUUGGGAAACCAUGUAUGUUUCAUUUCUGGUUUAACCAGGCUUUUCAGGAUGGGACUUCAGACCAAGGACACAAGUUGGGCUUGCUUAGGUGUUUUGUGUUGUGCGCAGGCCUCAGAGAUGCUCUUCCGGUCAGAGUUCCCUUGGCAGGGCCUUGGAGGCCUCUGGUUGGCUCUCUCAGGAAGAGGGCAGGUCAGGGAUUGGGCGGUGUAAAUUGACUCAGAAACCUGCGGUUUCAGCUUUUCUGUGGCAAACAGGGCCGAGGGCUGGUGAAGCUGUUAAGGCUAAAUGUCGCAUGCAUGAGGCGGGCUGCAGGCCUCCUUAGGCCUUUUUUGGGGUAAUUACACCAGUAUUUAAAAACAUUUUUUUUUGUUUGUUUUGAGAUGGAGUCUUGCCCUGUCACCCAGGCUGGAGUGCAAUGGUGCGAUCUCGGCUCACUGCAACCUCCGUCUCCCAGGUUCAAGCGAUUCUUCUGCCUCAGCCUUCUGAGUAGCUGGGAUUACACGCGUGUGCCACCACGCUCGGCUAAUUUUUGUAUUUUUAGUAGAGAUGGGAUUUCACCAUGUUGGCCAGGCUGGUCUCGAACUACUGACCUCGUGAUCCACCUGCCAUGGCCUCCCAAAGUGCUGGGAUUACAGGCGUGAGCCACCAUGCUCGGCCUAAAAAACAAUUUUCUUGAAGAAUCCGAUUUUGUGCAUAGUAAUGACACAGCACCAUUCCUGAGAAAUAGGAAAUAUAUGUGUGUGGUAUGAAAAGCCCAUAUUCUGUUCUUGUCACCUGAAUCUAGGCUUCCUCUUUGGAUGUGAACGCGGGAAUGAACAGUGGCUGUUUUCCACCCAAAGGGGCGUGGAGACCUUUUGGAAACGGGCUUUCUCCUUUCCAUUUUGCAGCCGGGGGCGGGUGGAAACCUUCCUUCGAAGGGUAGUGCCUUGGGGAGCAGCAGACCUGCUCUGAGUCCAGCUUAGCUUUCCAAAAUUCUGUGUGGAACU